GACGAACCGUGCGAACGUUGUUCGGAAUCACUGGGCUUAAAGGGCGCGUAGGCGGGCUGUCAAGUCAGUGGUGAAAGCCUCCGGCCCAACCGGAGAAGAGCUGUUGAUACUGAUGGCCUGGAGGGGUGUAGGGGUCUGCGGAACUUCGGGUGGAGCGGUGAAAUGCGUAGAGAUCCGAAGGAACGCCGGUGGCGAAAGCGGCGGACUGGACACCUUCUGACGCUGAGGCGCGAAAGCCAGGGGAGCAAACGGG
rnacentral:rRNA from 1 species